rnacentral:rRNA from 1 species
CCUUAACCUGCUAAAUAGAGAUGCGAACCUGCGUUCGUAAGCUCUUCUUAGAGGGACUUGACUACGUUUAGUGGUCGGAAGUUUGAGGCAAUAACAGGUCUGUGAUGCCCUUAGAUGUUCUGGGCUGCACGCGCGCUACACUGACAGAGGCAGCGAGUAUACAACCUUGACCGGAAGGUCUGGGCAAUCUUAUGAAACUCUGUCGUGCUGGGGAUAGAGCAUUGCAAUUAUUGCUCUUCAACGAGGAAUUCCUAGUAAGCGCAUGUCAUCAGCAUGCGUUGAUUACGUCCCUGCCCUUUGUACACACCGCCCGUCGCUACUACCGAUUGAAUGGCUUAGUGAGACCUUCGGAUUGAGGUUUGAUGGCCGAAAGGCUGCCUCGCUUUGAAAAGUUGGUCAAACUUGGUCAUUUAGAGGAAGUAAAAGUCG